UCGAUGUUCACAGAGGUUCCACUCUU
rnacentral:piRNA from 1 species